GAAGUGCCCCGGUUGGAGGCGGAGCCUCUGAACCCUAUUGGCGGAAGGGGCGCGAGGCUCCGCCUCCCCGAAGGAAAAGGCUCAAUCCUAGAGAGACAGCUCUGCAGCCGCGGCCAAUCAGUAAGGCCGAGUGCCCUUUGGCUCCGCCCAGGCCGUUCCCGCCCGGAGCCCUGAGCCCGCCUUUCAGGCCGACCCCGGCCGUGUCCCGGGCGGGGUCUAGCGCCGCGGUGGCCACCCUGGGCCACCUCCUCGGUCCUCACUGGCAGGGUCCUCGCUGGUCCAGGACAGACUCGCGACUAGGAACCGGGCCCCACCUCCACCGUCUCCAGGGAGGAAGGGGUUGGAGAAAUAAGAUCAAGGACAGGGGCCCUUUGAGUCCCCUCCCCCUCCCGGGCCCAGGGGCCUCGGCACCGGCCUGUCUUGCCCAGUCUGGUGGCCCACGCUGGAGGCAGCGUGGAUGGGCGGCGACUGGCCUGGCGAUUAGACAGCUCUAGCCGGGUUCGUUCCAGCCUCCGGCUCUCUCCAGGCAUUUCACUGCUCUCCAGGCGCCUGUCCUAGGCUAGAAGUAGAAAUAAUAGCGAGGCCCCGCUCUCCCCCUUCCCUGUGUGCCUCUGGAACAGCCCGCGCUCUCGGGAGGACUGGCGCAGGGCUAGCUGGGCAUCUACUCAGUAAUGCUGGCUCCCACCCUGUUUAAGUUCAUGCUGGGGCCACCUGGCUCACCUUAGAGCGGCCUCAGACCCACCACGGGUGGAAGUAAAAGCUACCACAAGAGUUCCAAGGCUUCCACUGUUCUCUGGGACCCAACCACAAUCCUGGGGCAAAUGAAGGUGAGCAGACAGAACACUACUGGGACAUGGAGAGCCAGCACAGCCUCUCCAAGGAUGGUCCAGCCUGCAGAGGGCUCACGCCCCGGGCAGAGAUCACCAGCUGCCAGUAACCAUCUUUCCAGACAUGUGGAGAAAUCCUGCUUGAGUCUGAAGCUAGCGUUCCAAGGGAAGCGGAACCAAGAGAUGAAGAAACACAGAACUCUGACUGUUUGAGCCCCUAGAUCCAGCCAUGCCUGAAACUGGAACACUUAACAUCAACCAAUAAAUUCCCUAUUUUGCUUAUGA